rnacentral:rRNA from 1 species
UCCGGUGGCGAUGGCGAGAAGGUCACACCCGUUCCCAUACCGAACACGGAAGUUAAGCUUCUCAGCGCCGAUGGUAGUUAGGGGCUGUCCCCUUGUGAGAGUAGGACGUUGCCGGGC